rnacentral:rRNA from 1 species
CAGUCGCCGCGGUAAUACGAGGGGGGCAAGCGUUGUUCGGAAUUAUUGGGCGUAAAGGGUGCGUAGGCGGUUUCGUAAGUCUUAUGUGAAAUCUCUGGGCUCAACCCAGAGUCUGCAUGGGAAACUGCGAGGCUUGAGGAUGGGAGAGGUGAGUGGAAUUUCCGGUGUAGCGGUGAAAUGCGUAGAUAUCGGAAGGAACACCUGUGGCGAAAGCGGCUCACUGGACCAUUUCUGACGCUGGUGCACGAAAGCUAGGGGAGCAAACAGGAUUAGAUACCCCGGUAGUCCCUGUCUCUUAUAA